rnacentral:rRNA from 1 species
CACGUAGGGCGCAAGCGUUGUCCGGAAUUAUUGGGCGUAAAGAGCUCGUAGGCGGUCUGUUACGUCCGCUGUGAAAACCCAGGGCUUAACCCUGGGCUUGCAGUGGAUACGGGUAGACUAGAGGUAGGUAGGGGAGAAUGGAAUUCCCGGUGUAGCGGUGAAAUGCGCAGAUAUCGGGAGGAACACCGGUGGCGAAGGCGGUUCUCUGGGCCUUACCUGACGCUGAGGAGCGAAAGCGUGGGGAGCGAACAGG